CCUGCCCAAGGCAUUGUUUAAACCCAAGAACCAACACGUGUGACGUCACUAUCCUCAUGGCACUGGCAGUCUCGUGGGGCUUGUAGAAAAUUCGCAGGCACUUAUAAUGCAUGGUGGGGAGGUGCUGGGGGCCAAGUAUGAGGCCCCCUGGCAGUUCCUCAGCAGGGUCCUUGACCCUAUCCAGGAGCAUCACAGAAGGCUUCCACAGGGAUGAGCUCCAAGUUGGGAGCUGAAGUUCAAGCGGAGGUUAUUUAAAUUGUGAAUAACAGAAAUUCACAAGAUCAGAGGAUGAAAGACCCCUCUGGCCACAGGGCAGAGAAUGAACAGGAGAGGGGCACGUGUGGAACAGGGAAACCAGCGAUGAGGCUGUUGCUUCAACUGGGAGAACAGAAGAGAGGCAGAGGCCAUUUGGAUGGAGAGAAAGGGACGCAUACAAGAGCCAUCCUGGAGGUGGCAUCGAGAGAAGCUGGUUGAUGAGGAGGAUCUGUUUGGGAUGGGAGAAGGGAUUCAAACACACUGGUAGGUUUCUGGCUUCAGAAACUCUGGAUGGUGGUGUGUCCUGGGGCUGGAUAACACAGAGGGACAGGCCAGGACCUGCAGCCAAAGCCUGCCCCUCCGCCUGCACCAUGAGGAGUCAGGCUUGUGGACACUCUGGUCUGCACAGCCCAGCUCCCCGCACGCCGCCCUCCCAACAAACAGCUGCCCCUGUGCCUGCAGUGGAGUGUGCCCCCCAGAGGAUGGCCAGACCCUGGAAGAAGCUCCGAGCUGCCUGGGUGGGGAAUUCUGGAGUCUUGGAACGUAAGUAUUGUUGAGGGAUGGCGAGAGCUCGGGGUGGCCAUGUCCUGUGAGAAGGAGCAGAGCCAAAAGCAGCAAGAGAGGAGGUUCCAAGUGCCCCCAGGGCAGAGGGCCUGGGACAGCAGGUCUGAGGGCAGUACUGCAGGGAGAGAGUAGGGUGAAGGGCGACACUGAGUUCAGUUCUGGGCACAUUGUGUCUGAAGGGCCGCUGGAGAUACCCGGGAGGUAGUCACAAAUGUCCUUCUGGGACCAGGAAGGAGAUCAUGAAGUCCUACACAUCUUCCCAUGUCCACUCCCCUCAGCCUUACAUGUUUAAACCGGGACUAUGGGGGCCGGCCUGCUGGCAUAGUGGUUAAGCUCGCAUGCUCUGCCUAAGUGGCCCAGGGUUUGCAGGCCCGGAUCCCUGGCAUAGACCUAGCACCACUGGUCAAGCCACGCUGAGGCGGCAUCCCACAUAAAGAUGAGGAAGAUUGACAUGAAUGUCAGCUCAGCACCAAUCUUCCUCAAGCGAAAAGAGGAAGAUUGGCAACAGAUGUUAGCUCAGGGCCACUCUUCCUUGCCAAAAAAAUAACCAGGACUAUGCUGGGCUGUGUGAUGUGGCCCCGAGUCUCCUUCUCACUCCAACAUUGUCUAUGCCCUAACCUACCUUCUCCCACUUCCUUGUCUCGCCCCCAGGCUGGUGAACCCGCGGGGGCAAAGCAUGAGGAAGUCUGUUCACCAAAUUCUUGUAAUCAGUUUAGUUACACAACAAAAUUCAGAUCAGAGUGAGGAUUAGCAGAGGAAGUUUGUGAACGGUGCUUUGAACUUCACAGAGGAAAGCCCCCUCCCCCAUUCACAUAAAGAAAGGCCAAGGUAUUAAACGUGACGUAAACCCAUGGCCGCCCCCAGGCCUCGCUGCCGCCCCAUGCAGCCGGCUGGGUGAUCAGCUGGCAUCCCAAAUUGCCUCCCCCCAUGGCAUUCCAUCCAGGUCUCCCAGAGUGGGGGAAAAUGGAUUCUGUCCUCAGCCCGCUGCUCCUGGAAUUGCAAGCAUUCGGUGAGCUGGCCCCCCAGGCCUGGCUGCUCCAGGACUCCUGCCUGCAGCCCGGGGCCGGCAAAGUAAGGAGGGACGGUCCCCUCCCCACAGCUCCCCAUCUCACUCGGAGCCCAGGGCACGGAGGGAAAGAAGAAGGGCAGAGCGGGGGGUCAGAGCAGCCCUCUGCACAGCCUGGGCUGCUGCUGGCGGGUUAUUGUUCCCAGAUGGAGACUGUCAAACCCUGUCAGCCUCAGAUACACACUGAGAGCAUUACAUCCGCAUUCCUGGAAUGUGUAGCUGCCCGGCUUCGCCUCUGCAGCCCUCCAUUGAAUAACAUGUCAGCUUCCUUCAGCCUCACCUCCAGCUAAAACCCUCUCACCCACUCACAGCCUCGCGUAUGGAGCACACACGCACCAUGGCUGUCUAAAUAUUUAAGCUGGGCUAAGGGGAGGCGUAUGUAGUUGGAAUUCAUCGCACUGGCUUGUCCGAGCUGGGUGGGUCUCACCUGUUGGUGCUGGUUCUAUGGAAAGCUUUGGAAGCCAAGAUCCAUUGACUGUGCUCCUUGGGCUCCAGGGCUGAUGACGUGACUGCUAUCCCAGGGGCUGGCAGCCUGUGGCACCUGGGCGAAGGAGCAUGGCAACUUGGCUGCUGCUGUUUACUUAAGGGCCUGGCUGCUGGCACCACAAGAGGCCUUGCCAGGGACUGCUGGAGGGCUCCUGUGCCCUUCAUUCCCAUCCACUGUCCUGGAUCUGCCAUGGUAGGAACACAGCCCCUCCAGCCGGGUCCUGGCAUUGCCUCCCAGAGCUGUGAGGCUGCUCCCACCCUGGCAGAGCCUUACCACGUGAGUCUAUUCUCUUUGGCUAGUGUGAAAUAAAUUAGGCUCUUGUUCAAACUGCACUGAAUCUGCAGGCCACAAGGGUACCUGUGGGGACAGUUGAGGACACCUGGAGCCCAGGAAUGGUAAGUGACUUGCUCAGGAUCUCACAGCAGUUGACGAUGAAGCUGGAUCUAUAAUCCCAGACCUUUGACAUUUCAUCUGUUGUAGCUUGAAUCGUGUCCCCAGAAAGAUAUGUUGAAGUCCCAACCCCUCGUGCCUACGAAUGCGAGCUUAUUUGGAAAUAGAUGCAAUCGAGCUGAGAUGACGUCAUUAGGGCGGACCCUAAUCCAGUAUGACUGGCUUCCUAUGAAGGGGGGGAAAUGUGGACACAGACAGACACACAGAGAAAAGAUAGCCGUGUGAAGAUGAGGCAAAGAUUAGAAUUCUAAUUCUAAUCACAGUCACAAACCAAGGAACACCUGGAUGAAGCCACCCGACCCUGCAAGAGGCAAGGAAGAGUCCUCCCCUCAAGGCUUCGGAAGGAGCACGGCCCUGCCAACAUCUUGAUUUCAGACUUCCGGGAUCCAGAGCUGUGAGAGAGUAAGUUUCUGCUGUCUUCAGUCAUCCACUUAAUGGUGCUUUGUUACCGCAGCCCCAGGAAGCCAACGUACCCCUAAAAGAGCUUCUGAUGCAAGAACCGGGUGAAAUUCUGCAUGAAAAUGCAGUUCCUUGGAAGCAAUGAGAGAGGGCUAAUUGUGGGUUUGGGAUUUCAGAAUACCUACCAGGUCAUUGCAGUGUGCAAGUCAUCUUUGAGGAAGACCCGACGCUCUGCGCCUCCGCUUUUCCUGAGAAAUGCCCUUUACCAAGGCUCAAUGAUAUGGACUCCUUAUCAAUUUUUAAACUUGAAUUUAUGAGUCGAUGUAAAAUCAGAGGGACUUUUCCUCUUAAUCCUUCUUUAGGCUGACCUACCUAAUUCUGAUCAUUUCCAUUUAAGUGGCCUUCCCAUCUCAGGGAUUUUGAAGUACUUACCAAACUCUAUGACCCAUGGGAGUGGCCUCUGGGGUUAGGAAUUCCUGGUUUACAUCUGCCCUCUGACCUCACCCUGUCGCAAUGACUCCGUUAAACUGAGUCAUUUGAUUCAGUGGAUUCCAUAAAGAAGAUAAGAGCUGGUGUAGAAAAUACUGUGGCUUAUGGGGCUGGCCCAGUGGCGCAGUGGUUAAGUGCGCAGGUUCCACUCCUCGGUGGCCCGGGGCUCGCCGGUUCAGAUCCCAGGUGUGGACAUGGCACCACUUGGUACCCUAUGCUGUGGAAGUAUUCCCACAUAUAAAGUACAGGAAGAUGGGUACGGAUGUUAGCUCAGGGCCAGGCUUCCUCAGCAGAAAGAGGAGGACUGGCAGUGGUUAGCUCAGGGCUAAUCUUCCUCAAAGAAAAGAAAAGAAAAUACUGUGGCUUAGGGCUGACUGUGGGCCUUGGGUUUGGGCAAAUGGAUGCUUUGCAAUUAACCUUGAUGUUUUUCUUAAUUCUCAAGAGAUGGAGAUUAUGAGCUGCUGAUUUCUCCAAGAAUCCAUUGCCCCAUGCCUUCAGUCUGUAAUGAUGCAUCUUACAAAGCAUUAGUUGGUGGCUUGAAAUCAGUUAUGGCUGGGUUUCUAACACCCAGCAACACUGGUCUGAGAAAACCCUCAUGCCCGCUGCCUUCUGUCAACCUCACACAUUGGCUGCGGCUGGUUGCCCAAGCCCUAAUUUCCUGGUUGUGUAACUUUGAGAGUGACUGUCCUAAUAGAUAUGUUCUAUUUCCUUGCCUCACUGCUCUUCACUGAAGUCUCUUGUUUACUGUGGAACCGCUCUGGGAAUCUAAACAUGCCAACGGAUAGCUCACCCUGCCCCACAAGGCGUGAGUUGAGUUAAGUGGAACCAUACCUUUGCUUUCUUCCCAAACCCAUGGGUGGAACCAAUUGAAACUUCAUGAUCGUGCAAUGCAUGUGCAGAAACUCCCCUGCGUGUUCUAAUGUUCCUCCCAAGAAGGACACGAUAUUUUCGCCUGUGUUUUACCUCCCAAAGACAGGCACCGCACUCUAAGGACCAUAGGUCUAAACAAUUGGCCACUGCUUAAAUGAGUGGUGGCACAGCCGUGCAAUGCCCCCCAAGGCAGCCACAGAAAGUCAUGCUUUGGAAGCAAAUUCAAUGACAUGGCAAAAUGUUUAUGGUCUGCUGUUAAGUAAAAAAAAACUGCUUAGAAAACAGAAUGUACAGUAUGAAAAGAAUUCCGUAAAAAUUGUGUGUAUAUCCAUAGAAAAUCUGGAAGGCUGUACUCCAAAAUGUAAACAUUGAUGAAACACUCAGCGCUGUGAACAUGCAACAGCCCAGUACGUGCAAGGCUCCAUGGCGUCUGCCCCAGAGAACAAGCAGUGGCUGCCAUCCUGGCACUGGGCUGUGCCUGCUGGGAAGGUCCAUCUUUUUCUAAUCAUACAUGGCACCAUACAGACUGGAGUCAGCUCUGGGGAUGAUGAGUGAGUAGAAAUUUUCUUCUAUGUGUUUUUUUAUAUUUUGCAAAAGUUCUUCAUUGAGUAUGUGCUACUUUUCUGUCAACUAUAAAAAUGAGGGGCCGGCACCAUGGCCGAGUGGUUAAGUUCGUGUGUUCCGCUUUGGUGGCACAGGGUUUCGCCAGUUUGAAUCCUGGGCACGCACAUGGCACCAUUCGUCAAGCCAUGCUGAGGUGGCGUCCCACAUGCCACAACUGGAAGGAGCCACAACUAAAAAUGCACAACUACGUACCGGGGGGCUUUGGGAGAAAAAGGAAAAAUAAAAUCUUUAAAAAAAUUAUAUACAACCAAUUUUUAAAAGAUAAUUAGUGGAAAUUUGAACAUUGACUGAAUAAUGAUGAUAUUAACGAAUUAUUUUUGUGUGCUAUUAAUAUUGUGGUUAUACUUUUAAAAGAAUUGUUAGCUUUUAGAGAUGCAUACUGAAAUGAAUAUAGAUAAAAUGAUACAAUGUCUGGGAUUUGCUUCAAAAUAAUAUGGGAGGUAGUUAGGUGGGCAGGAGGACAGCAUAAAAAAGAAAGUCACAAAUUAUUAAUUGUUGAAGCUGAGUGCUAGGUACACAGAGGUUUGUAACACACUUCUAUUUUUUGUAUACAUUUAUUUUUGUGUAUGUGUAUGUUUGUAUAGUCUAUUUUUGUAUAUGUUUCAAAUUGCCAUAAUACAAAGUUAAAAUAAAAACAGAAAACUAGUUUAGGUCGUUGUGGCUGAGAUUGACCUGAGUUUUCCUUUAUCUUUGCUUCUGGCAGACUUGGGCAGACCUCGCCCUUCCUGAGGGUACCUUCCUGUGUGGGGGGUGUAGUGACUGGUGAGGGCAUGAUUCUGUGCUGCUCAGUGAGGCUAAGAAGGAAAGCAGCAGGACACAUGCCACCUAUCCACUACUGCCAAAGCCACCAGGUAGUGACAUUACCACCAUCACAGCUAAAGGUAGGCAAAUGGGUCCCACAAACUGGAUUGUGGGGUAACUAAAGAUUAACUCUUAACAAGAGCUAUUACAUAUCUAAAAGGUUUAAUUAGGCAAAGAUUGGUUACCAGCAAGUCUUUGUUUCCACUGAGACAAAGUAAGAGAGAAAAGGAUUAAUUUACAAAGGGAGAAAUUGCAUUUAGCCACAUGGGAAAACUGAGUACUAGUAAGGGAGUGUUAAAUACCCACAGGGUUAUUGCAUCAGCUAGGAAUGCUUUCAGCUGUAAGUAAAAAAAAAAAAAAACUAACAGUGGUUUAAGCCAUAAUUACAUUUGUCAAUUAGAUAACAAAUAGUCAAGAGAUAGGAAGUCUCCCAAUUGGUUCAGCAACUAAUCAUGCUAUCAAGAAGCCAGGUGCUUUCCAUCCUUCUGUUCCAUUUUUUUUUUUUUGGAGAAGACUUUUUUCCAACUGUGGAUUUAUUGCCUUAUGGUUACAAGAUGGCUGCAGGAGCUCCAGACAUCACCAAGUUAGGUGACCACAUCCAAAGGUAGGGAGCAGAGGGAGGAGAGCAAGAAAGAGGUCUCCUGUGUAGCUCUUCUUUUUUUUUUUGGUCUGGAAAGGAAAAUUCUUGCCCAGAAGCCCCUCAGACUUACCUUUGUAUCUUAUUGGAUCGUAUUUGGUCACAAGAUCAUCUCUACCUGCAAGGGAGACUAGAAAAAUGAGGACCUGGCUCUUUAAGGCCGAAUGGGAAAGAAGAAAAGGAUUGGGGAUGGCCGCUCUGCAGCCUACCAAUAGUAGUUGCCAUAGUGUGGAAGAGAGCCAUAGCAUCUCUUUCCACAUUAUUGAAGCAAUUUUUGCUAAUUCCAGAAAAAUUGAGAAAUGCAGGAAAUUACCUAUAACUACACCAUCCAAAGAAAUCCACUGAUAUUUUGAUGUCAGAGAAGUAGCUGUUAACAGAGCUGGAUCUCCUUUAUUGGGUCCGUGAAGCCAAAUGGAGACAGAGAGAGGGUCUAGCCCAGGCCUUCCAGGACUUCUGUAAAUUUGUGACUCAAAGUAAACGGCUCUACCUGGACCUCAGGUAUUCCCCAGGAACAGAGAGCGAGGAUGCAGAUGGACUUGACCGGUUAGGUGUUGCUGCAUAACAGAUCACCCAGCACUCAGUGGCUUAAAAGAACCACCAUUUAUUAUUGCUCAUGACUCUGUGGGUCAGGAAUUCGGGCAGGGCUCAGUGAAGACUCUACUUCACAUGGUGUUGGCUGGUUCACUCCUGCGGCUGCAUUUCCCUAAGAGUUCAGCAGGGCUGUCAGAUCCAGGACAGCCUCACCCCUCUGUCUGGGGCCUCGCUGCUACCUACGAGCUCGGACUUCCCCUGUGGCCUCCCUGGAUUCAUUCUGUCUUGUCCUCCAGGGCCUCUCUCCAGGCGUCCUGUCCCUCCAGCAGAAUAGCCUCACUUCUCUAUGUGGAGGCUGCUUCCCCUCAGUGAAAGCAGAAGCAAAAAGCAUCUGACGGCCUGGGCUUGGAAGUUCCAGAACAUCAUUUCCACCAUAGUCUAACUGGCUGGAGCAAGUCACAGAGGAUGGCCCAGAUCCAAGGGGAGGGAAAUAGACUCUUCCUUUUUUUUUUUUUUAGGAAGAUUGGCCCUGAGCUAACAUCUGCUGUCAAUCCUCCUCGUUUUGCUGAGGAAGACUGGCCCUGAGCUAACAUCCGUGCCCAUCUUCCUCCACUUUACAUGUGGGACGCCUACCACAGCAUGGUUUGCCAAGCGGUGCCAUGUCCUCACCCAGGAUCCCAACCAGCGGACCCCAGGCUGCCAAGAAGCAGAACAUGCAUAUUUAACCGCUGCGCCACCGGGCCGGCCCUAGACCCCACUCUUGACGGAGGAGAAGCAAAGGCACACUGGAUGGGAGAUAUUUUUCUAACCAUCUUGGAAACAAUCUGCCACGUGUGGCAACCGAUCUGCUCAGGAUUAGAGAAGUUACAUCACACACACACGGAAAUGCACUAAAACUUAAAACUGAAAAUGAAUUCACCUUUGGCAGCUGUCUGUAUGCAUCAACUGUGACACUGUAAUUCUUUUCAAACAGCUUUCACGUUUGUUGAGGAAUCUGCCAAGCCUUAAUGAGAGUGUUAUACUUAUGAGCACUAAGCUCAGGGCCAGAAUGCCCGGAUCCAGCCCCAGGCCCCUCACACUAGCCUUGUGAUUGGGGCGUUAUUUACCCUUGCCCCAUUCGUAAACAGGGGUAAGCCUGCCCAUCUCCGAGGUGGUUGUGAGGCUUACAUGAGUGAAUAUAUAAAUACUUAGAACAGUGCCUGGCACAGAACAAAUAUGAGGUAAGUGUUCGUGUUAUUAGACCCGUCAACACCAAUUGUAAUGCUUCCUGUCUGUGGUGUUACUGAUUCUAUUUUUUAUGUACAGUGAAAUCUGUUUUUGAAAUUGCUCACUGGAAAAAGUAGCUGACAUAUUUUCUCAGCUUGGAUUUUAAACUAUACGUGAUCAUUAUCUCAUCUUGUGAGACCCCUCAAUAGCAUUCAACGCAAUCGACCACUCUCUCCCGGGUUCACACUGCUCCUCUCUUGGCCUCCCUGACACCACCCUCUCCUGGUUUUCCUCCUGUGUCUCUGACUCCUUCCUUUUCUUGCUGCUCCUCCUAUACCCAGCCUCUAAAGGUUGGAGCUCCUGGGCCCUCUGCUCUUCCCAUUCUGAACUUUCUCCUAGAGCUUAUCUACUUCCAUGUUUUUAGUUAUCAUCUAAUAUGCUGAACCCUACAUACGUACCUUAGCUGGAAUUCUCCUGAGCUCCCAAAUCAUAGAUCCGACUGCCACACUGGUGCCUCUCUCCGGAGAUCACACAGGUGUCUCCAGCCUCACGUCUGUAAACUGAACUUCUUCCACCCGAGCCCAUAACCCCACCCCCGUCCCUCCUUCCCAUCUCAGUAAAGGGCGCUUCCACAUACUCUGUCACUAAAGCCAGAAACAUGGAGGUCAUUCUUGACGUCUUCCUCUUCUUCACCCUCCAAAUCCAGUCCAUUACCAAGUCCUGCCAAUUCUAUUAGGCCACAUCAUAGGAAAUUGCCACUUUUGUAAGUAAAAAUUAGGCAAAUAUUGAAAAUUUCAUAUAGUUCACACUACUACUUCCAAAAUAUCUCUCAGACCUGUUCACUUUUCUCCAUCUCCACUGACAUCCCACCUAUAAGGCCACCACGGACCACUGUAAAGACUUUCCAGCUAUUUCCCCUGCCUUCCUCUCUACCAGUAGACCACUUUUCAUACGUAGCCAGGAUCAUCUUUUGAAAUGUAUGUUGAAUCACGUCACUCCCUUGGAUAAAAGCCUGUCAAUAUCCUCUCCAGUCGCAUCUCAUGCCGCACCCUCCCUUCCCCCUCCACCAUCCACCAGGGCUUCCUUCCUGUCCCUCAUGUUCAACCAGUUCCUUCCACCUGAGCCCUCUAUGAAGGCUCUUGCUACCUGGAGCCCCAUCCCCAUCCAUCUUGUCCUGGCUUCUUCCUACUCAUCCUUCUCUGACUCCUUCUCAGAAAGACCUGCCUUGACCCCCACCCAGCCUAAAGUAGGUCUUUUUUCUUCUCUUUCAUAGCAGGGUGCCCUGUUUUCUUUCAUAACACUCAUCACUAGUUGUUGUUAUCUAAUUAUUAGUGUUUUAGGUUAUUAGUUUCAAGCCUGUUUCCCGUGCUUCAGUGUAAUCUUCAUGAGGUACAGAAGAAGAUGGUGUCUAGUUUGUUCACUGUUGUAUACUUAGCAUCUCAGAUACAAGAGGGGCUCGAUCAAUGUCUGAACAAAUGAACAAACGAGUGAACGAGCCUGGGUUCAAAGGCUGUCUGUCUGUCUGUCAGUACACUGCUAUUCUGCAGAGUUCGUGUUCCCUAGCAGAUCCCCAGACCACAUUCCUCCAUGUCAUUCACCAGUUUCUUUCCCGGCAUUUUUUCCUUUCUUUCACUUCCUUUUGUUCUUCCAAAUUAAAGGGGGUAAAUUUUCUUUUCUUUUUUUUAAUGUAGUGACGUGAAAGGACCCAAUUUCCAGUUUGUUCUAUGACUCCACUCCACUGAAGUCUAACUUUAUGUUUUACCUUAACAUUUAUGAACCAUUUCCAGUUAAUUUUUGUAUAAGCUGUGAGGGUUAGGGUGAAUUUCGUUUUAUUCUGCUUUUUCUGUUUUCUCUUUCUUUUUCUUUUGCAUAUAUAUGUCCUAUUGUCCAAACCCCAUUUGUUGAAAGAAUAUCCUUUCUCCAUUGAAUUACCUUUGCAAAAAAUCAAUCGGCCAUAUUUGUGUGCAUCUAUUUCUAGACUUUCUAUUCUGUCCUAUUAAUUUAUGUGUCUAUCACUUUAUUAAUAGACCCAUUGCUAAUUGCUUCACUGCUUUGAUGAUUGUAGACUUUAGAAUAAGUCUUUAAAUUGUAUAGUAUAAUUCCUGCAAAUUUUUUUUUUUUCAAAAUUGUUUUGACUGUUCUAGUUCUUUGAUUUUCCAUAUAAAGUUUAAAGUCCGCUUAUCUAUAUAUUUUUUGAAAAUUCUGUUAGGAUUCUGAUUGGAACAGCAUUAAAUCGAUCUGAGAAAAACUGACAUUUUUACUGUGUUGAGUCUUCCAAUCCAUGAACAUGGUAUGUCUCUCUAUUUACUUAGGUCUUCUUUGAUUUUUUUUCAUCCAUUAGUGUUCAUACAGACCUUAUAUAUGUCUUGUUAGAUUUAUACCUAAGUAUUUAAUUUUGUGGGUAACCAUUAUAAGUGAUAUUUUUUUUAAAAGUUUUGGUGUCCAGUUGUUCAUUGCUAGCAUGUAGAAAUACAAUUGAAUUUUGUGUGCUGACUUUGCAUCCUACAACCUUACCAAACUCACUUAUUAGUUCUUGAAAUUUUUUUAAAAAUCAGAUUCCUUGGGGGCUGGCCUGGUGGCGCAGCAGUUAAGUGCACACGUUCCACUUCUCGGCAGCCCGGGGUUUGCCGGUUCGGAUCCCGGGUGCAGCCAUGGCACCACUUGGCAUGCCAUGCUGUGGUAGGCAUCUCACAUAUAAAGUAGAGGAAGAUGAAGAUGGAUGUUAGCUCAGGGCCAGUCUUCUUCAGCAAAAAGAGGAGGAUUGGCAGCAGUUAGCUCAGGGCUAAUCUUCCUCAAAAAAAAAAAAAAAGAUUCCUUGGAUUUUCAUGUAAUUUACAACCAGGGACAGCUUUAUUUCUUCCUUUCCAAUCUGUUUGCCUUCAUUUCUCUUUCUUGCCUUAUUGCACUGACUAGGACUUUCAAUAUGAUGUUGAACAAGAAUACAGAAGCUGGAAAACCUUGCCUUGUUCUUAAUCCUGAGGGGAAAGUAUUUAGUGUUUCGUCAUUAAGUACCAUGCCAGCUGUAGCUUUUUUGUAGAUGUCCUUUAUUAGAUUGAGGAAGUUCCCUUCUCAUCCCUUAUGGUGCAUGUGCUUGCAAGACUGUGUGAUGGGUAGGAAGAGUGUGGGCUUUGGGGCAGAGGAGACUGGCUCUGGGGUUCAGCUCCACUACUCUCUAAUUAUGCAACUGUGUGUAGAUAAUGCAGAACUUCCCAUACAUGAAGUUAAGGGAAUGCAACCUUCCUCAUGAAGUCUUUGAGAGGAAUAGCUGAGAUCAAGUACAUGAAGAACCCGCCACAGUACUAGUCAUGUAACAGAUGCUCAGUAGUGGUGUUUUGAUGGUUAAUUCCACAUGCACCAUUAUUCCAAAGGUUUUAAAACACCCUCAGAGGCCCUGCAUGUUCUGUCAGCCUCCUUUGGUCCCUCUGUUACUUCCCUGUCCUUGUCUCCUCUUACUCCCCUCCCUUUCACCCCUCCUGCUUCAGCCACACAGGCGGAGGCUGUGUCAUUCCACACACACCAGGCACACUGCCCUGAGAGUGGGCCAUUCCCUAUACACAAACAGCUCUCCCCCUAGAUACUCACACAGCUCAUCUCCCCAUCUCCUUAAGACUUCACUCAAAUGUCACUUUUCCAUGAAACCUACUCUGACCGUUUGUGUUUGCUCCUAGGACUACAAACACAGAUUACCACAAACUGGUGCCUUAAAACACAAGAGACAUUUAUUUUCUAACAGCGUGGGGGCCAGAAGCCCGAAGUCAAGGUGAUGACACAGCCACACUCCACAGUCUCUGGGGGGGAUGCCUUCCUUUCUUCUUCCAGCUUCUGGUGGCUGCAAGUAUUCCUUGACUUGCCAGUCUCUGUCAUCGACUUUUUACCUGUGCCUGUGUCUCAAACCUUCCUCUGCCUUUUCUCUUCUAAGUACACCUGUCAUCGGAUUUAGGGCCCACCUGGAUAAUCUAGGAUGAUCUCAUUUCAAGACCUGUGAUGGUUAAUUUUUUGUGUCAACUUGACUGGACUGAGGGAUGUCCAGAUAGCUGGUAAAACAUCGUUUCUGAGUGUGUCUGUGAGGGUGUUUCCGGAAGAGAUUCGCAUUUGAAUUGGUAGACUGGGUAAAGCAGAUGGCCCUCCGCAUUACAGGUGGGCAUCGUCCCAUCCAUUGAGAUCCCAAAUAGAACAAAAGGGUAGAGGCAGGUGAAUUUGCUUUCUCUCUGCUUCAGCAGAGACAUAUCUGUCUUCUCCUGCCCUUGAACAUCGGCGCUCCUGGUUCUUGGGCUUUUGGACUCAGAUCAGGACUUACUCCAUCAGCCCCCAGAUUCUCAGGCCUUCAGACUCCGACUGAAUUAUACCACCAGCUUUCCUGGUUCUCCAGCUUCCAGACAGCAGAUGUUGGAACUUCUUGGCCUCCAAGACUGCGUAGGUCAAUUCCUACAAUAUGUCUCCUCUUGUAUAUAUCUAGAUAGAUAGAGUUAUAGAUAUAGAUAUAUCCUAUUGGUUCUGUUUCUCUGGAGAAUCCUGGCUAAUACAGGACCAUUAACUGAAUUGCAUCUGUAAAGACCCUUUUUCCAAAUAUGGUUACCUUCAUAGGUUCCAGAGGUUAGAAUUCAGACAUAUCUUUUUGGGGGCCAUUAUUCAACCCACUACAUUACUCUAUUUAACAACUGCAAAAUUGCACUCACACACACACACCACCACCAUCCUCCUGAUGCCCCUUACUCUGUUUCUGUUUUCUUAUUUUCCAUAGUUCUUGCCACCUUCUAACACACAAUAUCAUUUUCUUAUGUGUAAGUUUUAUUGUAAUUUUUGACCAGGACAGGGAUUUAUGUCUGUUUUGUUCAUUGAUAUAACACAGGAAUGUAGACUAGAGCGAUGCUUGGUGCAUAUCAAGUGCUCACUAAAUUCAUACUGAAUGAAUUGAUGAGUGAAUGAAUGACAUGUGUCAUGGGGAGCCAGUGGCCCAAACAGCUCCUGACAUUCAAGCAGGAGUCAAUAAAUGCCUGAGGAAUGAAAUGAGAUGAAACAGUCAGGAACUCGCCCUUAGGAGAACUCUGGGAGACCCCAACUGAAAAGGCAGAGUUAUUCCCAAGCUCCUUUUUCUAGUUUUAAUUUCUUUUUCCUCAGCAGAUUUCCAAAUCCUGAGCUGCCCACAUUGGGAGCAGUGAUUCUCUGCUGGUGACUCAGUGUUAAACGGUUCUGGAGCUGACUGAGCUGGAAAUUACUCCCCCCAAAUCUGGAAAGGUUUUGUUUUCAGAGAAUAUAUCUUGGUCUCUUGAUAAGGUAUAAUUAAUCACACAAAUGAGCAUAAUGACCAAAAAUAGGUUCCAAAGGGCAAGCUAAUUCUGGAUAAUUAUAAAUCAGAGGGUUUGAUGAGUCUAGGAUGCUGCUGGAUUGGGCAUCGAUGACCCAAGCCAAAUAUUCCACAGAAAAAUAAAGAUGGGGGCAAGCUCUGCACCUGGUUUCCAGAUGCUGCCACCCACUUGUCACCCCAUUCUGAUGCUCACUCUCAUUUAUCAUUUAUAAGAUACUUUGCGAUAUGCUUAUUUCUUUAUUUCCUGAAAUAAUGGCCUUUGAGACCAAAAAAAAAGAAAAAAGUGACUGGCUGCUGAGAAUGCAAUUUUGGAGCCUGGGUUUUCGUUUGGUUGUUUUGUCUAUUUCAGUUUGGUUGGGUUGUUUUUGCCUUCUGCAAAGUUCACAGCACAACUAAAGUCUUUAAAUAAAAAUGUUUCUUUUUUUUUCUUUUUUUUCCUUCUUCUCUCCAAAGCUCCCCAGUAGAUAGAUGUAUAUCCUAGUUGUGGGUCCUUCUAGUUCUGUUCUGUGGGACGCCACCUCAGCAUGGCUUGAUGAGCAGUGCUAGGUCCACGCCCAGAAUCCAAACCCAUGAAACCCUGGGCUGCUGAAGCAGAGAGCAUGAACUUCACCACUGGGCCACGGGGCUGGCCCUAGUUCUUAUUUUUAGUAAAACAGUAAGACAUGCUUUGAAAGGUGUUUAGAAAAUGCAGAUGAGGAAAAGGAAGAAAAUAUUUUUAAUUAACCUGUAACGCCACUGCCCAGAGAUAGCCGUGGCUGUGAUCGACAUUGUGUCUCACCUCCAUUGUUUUGCAUCUCAAGAACGUCCUCACUUCCUGCCCAUCUCACUCUUUGUUCAGCUGUUUUAGCUGUGUGCAUGGUGGUUUAACGAUGGCACAUGCCACAGAGCAAAGAGGCCAAGGACAACCUGCUGACUCCCCCAGUCUCUUCUCCCAUGUUGUAUCCUCAACAUCCUGGAUCCACGCCUGCAGGAGAAGCCGUCAUAUUGCAUUUGUCUUGCAAGGAUUUAAUCACAGGCCUCCAGGAAGCACGGCCCAGAGCCAGAGCUCCACCCUGGAAGACGUUCUGGUUCUAGGUCUGUCUCAGAAUUACUGUGGACCUCCAUGUUCCAGCAAAGAAUGAAAAGAAUAGAAUCUAUCCAUCAUUCAUUCAACAAAUAUUUACCAACCACUUGCUCUGUGCCAGUGUUCACAUUUUCUAUGCUGCAUAACAAACCACCCAAAACAGAAUGGCUUUUAACAACUAUUUAUUAUUACUUCUUAUAAGUUUGUUCUUGGGCUGGGCUCAGCGGGGAGGUCUUGCUCUGAGUCUCACAGGUGGCAAUCAGCUGGUGGCUGGGCCUGCAGUCAUCCGAAGGCUCGUCCGGGCUGGAUGACCAAGAUGGCUCCCUCCGCAGCAGGAGGCUCGGUGCUCUGAGGAUGGCCCCUGCCUCUUCACGUGGGGUUACAUCCUCCAGGCCUUCUCCACCGGGCUUGGGCUUCGCACAGUAUGGUGGCUUCAGGCUACUACUCCUUCUUACAUGGCAACUGCCUUCCAAAGGUAGAAAGCAGAAGCUGCCAGGCCAGUUAAGGGCCACACCAAGGACAGGUAUAGCAUCAUUUCUGUCACAUUCUAGGAGUGAAAGCUGUCACAGGGCCUACCCAGAUUCAGGGAGGUGGAGAAACAGACUCUACCUCUUGAUGGGAGAGUGGCAAAUCACCUGGCAGAAGGGCAUGUGGGAUAGGAAAUACUGUUGCCACCAUCCUUGGAAACUCUGGCCUGCCACAAGUAGGCACUGUGUACAGGCAGGGUAUACAGUGUUGAGGGCCCCUCAGUCCUCAGAGCUAACAUCUAGCAGGCAAGACAGACAUUAAACAAAUAACCAUGCAGUAAAAUAUAUAUUUCCACAGUGAAAAGCUAGGCACUGUGAUGGAAAAGCACAAUGGGAAAGGAAAAGAAUAAAUGGAGCUUGGUCAAGGAAUGCCUCUCGGAAAAUGGCGCACGUAGACUGAGACCCCAGUGGUGAGCAGGAGUUGUCCAACUGAAUAGCAUUCCAAGCAGAAGGAGCAGCAUGUGAGAAAGAAGGAGAGUGGGGUUAAAAUAUACGGAGAAAGAGGAAGAUGGGUGCAAAAAGAGGUUGAGGAAAUAAGCCAGGCCUGGGUCAUGUAGGGCCUGGCAGCCCUUAUUGAGUAUCUAGGAUUUUUUUUUCUCAAUGCAAUAGAAAACCACUUGUUUUGUUUAGGUUAGAUUCAGUUGUAGGUGACAGGAACCUAAAAUAAUAAUGAAUUAAACAAGGCAGAAAUAUCUCUCUCCCUCACAUGAGCUACGUUUUACAUAAUCCAUCAGAGGAUAGGAUGCUUGUCUCUAGUAUCAGGGACCAGCACCUUCCAUCUUCCAUCUUCAGAAUACAGUUUACCCCUCCCUCAUGGUUCAGGAUGGCUGCUUGAGCUCCAGCCAACACAUCCACAUGGCAGUCAACAAAAAGGAGGAAAGAGGAUACGUUUUUCUCCCUUUCAGAGUCCGUGUCAUUUUCACUUACCCUCACUGGCCAGAACUGAAUCAUGUAGCCACACCACCUGCUAGGGAGGCUGGGGAAUGCAGUCUUUAUUCCAGGUGCUCAUGUGCCUAGUUAAAACACAGAUGCCUUAUUACUGAGGAAGGAGGGGAGAAUGGAUAAACAGUACUCUGUGCUACAGUCCUGAAAGGUUUUAAGGAAGGGAGUAUUUCUUACGCUGCCAAAACGUGUUGUAAAACUGGACACAGUUUUCCUCGUGAAGGAUCCUGAGUCCUACCGUACCCUCCAGCACACACUGCUGCUCUCUGCGUGACCUUGAGACUCCCGUUUGGGUCUUGGAUUCCUGAUCCACAAAAAGGAGGCUAUCCCGCCCAUCUAAUAACAGCAUUAUGGGAGCCAGUAGGGUAAUAAUAAUAAAAGGGCUUAGCAGCGGGUAGGAGUGAGCAAUCCUUUUAGGGAGGAUGUUAAUUCCGAGAAAUACCCAAUCUGUGAACUAUCUAGAGCUUUGGAAGCACCAAGGAAAUAAACACCACUCCAAAUUUCCGAUGGUCAUCCUGUAAGACAGCAACCAGCGAGAAGUGCUUAAGUGCGCAGAAGGGGGCUGAUGUCCACUGCCCGUAAGUGGACAGAACCAGGCUGAUGUCAUCAGCUUCCUGGGAAAUGCCAAAGUUAAAGUGACCUGCUCCCUGAGCAGACAGCAGUCACGGGCCCCUGGUCACAGAGCCCAGACUCUUGAGAGACAUGACCAGAUGCUGUUUCCAGAAGAUCCAGCUGCGUUCACACGUCACACUGAGGGAGACAGGAUUUAGGAUGAGUUGGUCUCUAAGACCCGGGUUAGAGGAAAAGUCGGGACAGGACUAUAGUUCAUUUGUUCCUAUUCUGGAAAGCUCCCUCUACCUAAUAAUAGAGUAAGAUUAUCUUGUUCAACACACACCAGUCCAAAGAGGCAGGUGCCAGUCACACCUCCAUUUUACAGAUGAGAAAAUCGAGGCCCAAGAGCCCACAGUUACUACCGGCUGAUGGUAGGCUCUGUCUCAGGAAGUCUGGCUCCAUAGCCCUUGAAGGUAAACUGCUAAUUACCCUGCCUCCAACUGCCUAAAUCUUAAGAAGUCUCACUUCCAAUGCCACGCACAGGGCUUGAAGGCCUACUAUGUGCCAGGCCCUCGACUGAGUGUGGGUGUUGUAGAGACAAAAAAGACACAGUCCUGGUCCUCAAGGAGUUCGCAAGCUCGGGAGUAUACUGAGUGAAUGUACUGCUGGGUAUGCUGAGUGGUUACCGCAUAUGUGGGAGGAAGGCCUAACCCACCCUGCAGGCCAUGCCAGGAGCAGUCAGGGAAGGCUUCCUGGAGGAGGCAACACCUGAGCUGAGCCUGAUGUCUCUUACUCAAAUACACUUGAAUGUGUCUGAAAUAGUAUACAAGCUUCUCUCUCUCUCUCUCUCUCUCACACACACACACACCAAAUAUUACUGCUUUAUAACUACCCACCUUUGAUCCACCAGUCUGAUCCUCCUAAUCUAUUUACAAACAGACCUCUGCUCACCAUUGGUAAGGACGUCUGAGUGGGCCUUCCUGAAUCUCAGCCCAUCUGUUUUAUGGCUCAGGUGUUUCAUUUCAGGUUACAGCAGAUUUUGGAGCAAAAGGCAGCCUCACAUAAGUGUCCAGAGGAGGACAGAGGCCACGCUCAUACCUGCCCCUGUCCCUACCCCCAACUGGAGAGCCGGGGCCCCUGGUGUGAACCAGGCCAGUCAUUCUUCCGCUCACACUUCCUCACCAUGGGCCUGCUAUGACCUUCAUAACCUCGUCUUUUAUAUGACUUUUUAUAGGACCGUAUAUAACCUUCAUAUGACCUCGUCUUUUAUCCCCAGAACAAUUGUUUCCAUGGAGAACAUUUUCUUAUUGGAAAACACAAGGCUUGAAACUGAAGACAAUUAAGGGGUAGGGAAAAUGAAAAGCCUGGGAUUCCAGCCCAUUGGAGGAAAGUAAGAUCCAGAAAGGGCACUGCAGGAAUGGUGGGGGCAGCCAGGGCUCCUGGCCUGGCUUCUUGAGAGGCACGGUGUUCUGGAUAUUCAGACGGUAUUUAAUAGAUGCACAAGAACAUGGACCUGGCACAUCCAUGCAUCUAUGAAGCAUGGGAUUGGUGCACCAGCCUGGAUAGAAAGAGUGUGGCGAGGGGACUUGCUUUGAAGCUGUGCGCAACAUGCGGUGGAGAAAACGUCAGUUGUCUACGCCAGAGAGGGAAGGCAGGAUAUCAGGUGGGGCUAACGCCUGCCCUUAAGAUUAGAAGAAGGAAAAGCUAAAGGGAGAAAGACCAGAGAGGGGAACGAGUGAAUGAACACAGAGGGAGAAAGAAAAGGAAGCCUAAGAACCGGAGUUUCAAAACCAGCUUCUGUCAGAAAUUCUUGCCCCCACUUGUUAAGGGUCUAAAACCUACAUUUCGUGAAAAAAAUUUUGAACCUUUAUGUUUAGGACUAGCACUCUGAUGGGCUUUAUGGUGUGAUUAAAAGCACCUGAGUUUUGGAGAAAAGCGGAACUGAUGUUAAAUCGUGCUGCUGCUACUUCUUAGCCGAGAGACCUAAGAUAAGACUGUCUCCCUGGGAGAAAAAUGGAUGUGAUGAUACCAGAGUCAAAGGCAAAAAUGCCCGACAGUGUGGGUUGUGGGCAGUGGGCUCUGAGGGGACACUGGUGGGCCUUUCCUUCCUUUGUGGGAUUAGGAAACCUGAUGGGCUGGCCCCACUGCCCACUCCUGUCACCAGGUGAGAGCGAUCUUCAAGGAAGGCAUUUCUGUGCAGCAGGAGGGUUGGAGGAGGGUGAGCCUGAGGUGACAAGGACAGUGCAGGACAAGGCAAGACUGUGCUAAGAGUGUGUGAGUGAAAACAGCUGUGGUAGGUGGCCCCCAGGCUUCCAGCUCCAGCCAGGCAUUUUGCUGAUAAUCACUUGUCCAUUAGAUUUUUCAUGUAUUAGUUACUUUUCUCCUCUUAUCCCUGUUUAUAGCCCUGUGAUACUCUAGAAAACAACGCACCUCUCCAUCCAUUUAGAUCCUAUAUUCCCGACAUGGAAUUCAGGUCUGAAGCCAUCAUCUCCAGUUUCGAGGUUGCUGGCUCUUAUGUUCUUGCUUCAAUGGCUGCUCCCCUCUCAGACUGUGUCGACCUGUGCUAAACUCACUCCCUGGGGCAGGCAUUGGCUCAUAGUCAAAUUCUCAGAACUGAGCUCAGUUUGCUGUCGGGGCUGGGUGAAUAGUUGGGUGUGUGUGCGCACAUGCAUGUGUGUGUGUGUGUUCUCCUCCAGUGUGGCACCUUCUGUCAGCUCUUCUGCAGCCUCUCUUUUAAUAAAUUCAUUCCCAAUCCUUUUAAACAUUUCAUCUUUAAACCCACAAGAAUGCUAGAAUUCUAUCUGAGCUUCAAGAAUUAUAUAUUUAAAAAGUCGCUUGAAAUUGCAUAACCACUAAUCUAGGAACAUUAACCUUUUUGAAUCUUUCAAGUAGUUGCAUGAGCAAACCUAAAAGUGUCCUUUUCCUUCACUGUUUAGUGAGUUAACUAAUCAUUCUGGCAUUGUUCUUAUUUUUCAUGUCAAGAAACCCAACAGUACUUCCCUGCACUAUAUAAGUUUCUGAGAGCUCUUAAAACAGGUUGUCAUCAGAAAAAAAAGAGUGAAGUUUUCCAAAAUGAGCUUUAAAGAAGAUAAUUCUCCAGGAACGCAGUUAAAAGAGAAAGUUUAUAUGGUCCAGGUUGUCUGCUUGGCUCCAAUCGUUGUGUCUACACAUCAACCAACAGAAAGAUAGGAAGACCUAAAGAAAGAUGUGCUCUCCUUUUAAAGACUUUUUUUAGAAGGACAACAUACAACUUCCACUUAAAUUCCUUUGUCACAUGGACACACCAAGCUGCAAAGGAGGCUUGGAAAUGUGGUCUUUAUUCUGGACUGUGUGUGCAGCUAAACCACUGGAAACUUUAUUAUUAAGGAAAAAGAAGACAAUGAUAUUGGGGAUAAUUAGGAAUCAAUGUCACAUAUACAUAAAUAAAGAAACAAUGAAAUAUAAAUUCUGAAUAGUCUCAUGACACUGAUAAACUAUAUUUCAAGAAUUACUCAACAAUACUCAACUAUGGUAUUUAGAAUUCUAGAGCCCUGGAAAAUCCAGCUCAAGUUAAGAAUGAAAAGUGUUACCCAAGUAAAGAGAAGUCAGUCUACUCUCAGCUCCUUAAAGGUGUUUCCCUCUCCCCCCCAGAGAAAAUCCUGGGAAGUUCCCCCUGGGUGAGAAGGAGAAUAAACUCAACCAGUCACAGAUAAGGGUCUAUGACCCAAGCAAACAAAGGAGUUGGUUAUCCAAGCAUAACCUGGAUGUCAGUUGGGGCUCAUAUUGAUAAACUGAACAUUAAGCACAUAUAGGGGGCUGGCCCCAUGGCCGAGUGCUUAAGUUCUCAUGGACUGCUGCCGCGGCCCAGGGUUUCAUGAGUUCCGAUCCUGGGCGAGGACAUGGCACCACUCGUCAGGCCACGCUGAGGCGGCAUCCCACAUGCCACAACUAGGACCCAUAACUAAAAAUAUACAACUAUGUACUGGGGGGAUUUGGGGAGAAAAAGCACAAAAAAAAACAGACUGGCAACAGUUGUUAGCUCAGGUGCCAAUCUUUAAAAAAAGGAAAAAGAAAAAAAAAACUCUCUAGAAUGUCCUUGAUUCUUUGCUGAUUUGCUCCAGACUUAAGAUCCUAGGCAGGUAGGUCCCAUUAGCUGAGCCUACAGCAUAUUCCCAUAUUCUAGAUGCUAGAGGGCAGAAGAAAGUGUAUGUUUGAUCAUUUCAAAUGUUAUAAUGGAAGACAGGUCCUGCCUUUGGCCAAGACUGAUACAAUAGGGAAUUCCCCAAACAAGAAUGUAGCUCAGAUCCUAGACAGCAAAAAAGAAAUUUUUUUUAAUCUACCAGAACUAAUAAAAAAGAAAUUUUUUAAACUUCUCCCUCCUCCCAAAAGGCACCAUGCUCAAAUGGUUUUCAUAGACAACUUUUAUCAAAUCAUCAGUUAUAAAAUUGUUCCACAGAUUUCAGUUCUCCUCAUAUACAUUCAGUGCCAUCCCAACCCAAUUCCUAACAAGAUUUUCUAGGGAAUUUGACAAGCUGAUUCUAAUACUAAUAUGAAAGAAUAAAUGUUUAAGAAGAGCCAAGACAACUCUGGGAUAGAUGAGAGAAUCACUCUUUGAGAUGUGAAGAUGGCCCAUGAACCUAUAAUGGUUAAAACAGUAGAGUACUGAAUGAAAACCUCAACAGACAAAGAAGAAACUCCCAAAGACAGCCAUGCCCGUACAGGACUCCGAAUACCACAGGGAGGCUCUUUUCUCCUCAUCACCGUAGGAAGCGUUCCUGAAAGUGAGAGAGAAAAGAUUUCAGGAAGCAUUUGGUAAUUAAGGGGAAUUAAAAGUAAUAAGGAAAUUGGACACAUUUUCUAUAAUUCCCAGUUCAAAA
ensembl:lncRNA